UCGUAUGAAAUGUGGGGGGGGGCACGCAAGGGCUGUCGCUGACCCAAAAGUCGUGCACGCCUGGGUGGGUCCCCUUGCACGACAAUCCAUCUCACCCUUUGUGCAUCACCGCGUGGGCUCCCUUCUCGGAGGGGCCCCACGUUUUCACACAAAACCCCCCUUUUAAAAAGUGUAGAAUGACCUCAUGUAUGCGUUAACCCGCGAUCAAUAC
rnacentral:misc_RNA from 1 species